AUAUAAGGACCUCUACUUUUAAUUGCAAUAUCGCUUUUGAAAGUUGAACGAAUUUCACGAAAUUGUUGAAACAUGAAAAGCCUCUUUUGUUUUUCCCUUAUUUUUCUGAUUUUCUCCGCGAAUUUUGGAAAUGAGAUGAUGAUGAUGACAGAGGCAAAACAAUGUACUAUUUCUGCACCUCAUUUUUGUCGAAAAUGGGAGGUUUUGAUUUGCAAAUUAGUCUGCAAGUUUGCUUGUAAAUCAAUACAUGCAACCGGGAAAUGUUUCGACGACAAAUCUUGUAAUUGUCAUUGUUGUUAAAUUGUUAUAUAACAUUGGAAAAAGCUUCACCUUUUUUAUCUAUUAAAUUGUUAACUAAUAAUAAAUAAAAGUUUCAUCAUUUUUAGUGGUGGUAA